CGUGCCAGCAGCCGCGGUAAUACGGAAGGUCCGGGCGUUAUCCGGAUUUAUUGGGUUUAAAGGGAGCGUAGGCCGGAGAUUAAGCGUGUUGUGAAAUGUAGAUGCUCAACAUCUGCACUGCAGCGCGAACUGGUUUCCUUGAGUACGCACAAAGUGGGCGGAAUUCGUGGUGUAGCGGUGAAAUGCUUAGAUAUCACGAAGAACUCCGAUUGUGAAGGCAGCUCACUGGAGCGCAACUGACGCUGAAGCUCGAAAGUGCGGGUAUCGAACAGGAUUAGAUACCCUGGUAGUCCGCACGGUAAACGAUGGAUGCCCGCUGUUGGUCUGAAUAGGUCAGCGGCCAAGCGAAAGCAUUAAGCAUCCCACCUGUGGAGUACGCCGGCAACGGUGCAACUCAAAUGAAUUGACGGA
rnacentral:rRNA from 1 species